rnacentral:tRNA from 1 species
UACAAUUAGAUGUAAAAUGCAUAAAGAACUUUGAAUUCUUUUGGUUUGGUUUAACUCCAAAAAUUGUAU